AGGCCCUUUCCCUGCCUCCAAGUUACCUUGUAUUAUAACAGGAUUAAAGUAUAUUAGCUCCUCCAUUAGCAUACUUUAGCCCCAUUUUGGCCUACUUAAGGCUUCCGGCAGCUUUGAUCAGUUUUGCGUUCUACUGGCCAACAGGAGGGCUCGGCCGGGGAGGGGGGAGCCAGACUGUGAAAUUAUCCCGAUGCUCCUUGGUAUUCCCAGUACUCUCUUGUUCUUAAAUGUGCCCAGUUGACCAGGAAUGGGCAGGAGGAGACGGGGGAAGGUAGCAGGGACCAAUAAUAAUUAGGUCUUAGCUGGAAGAGGAGAGAAAGGGUUUGAACAUCUCCUAAGAAAAGGAGGGGGGAAACCCUAUAAUUUCUACAGUGUCUGCCUUUUUAUUGCUUGCAUUUGCAUAUAAAUUAAAUCCAUAUUGUAGCUUUAAGGCAAGCCCGGGCUUAGAAUUCCACACCGCUCGGGGUGCCAUUGUCUUACAUCCAGUUCUAGGCGGCGGCGGAAUGAAAAGGGAGGGGAGAGCAGAGGAAAGGAAAGUCAGCUUUGUAGGUUUUUAAUUGCCUGUUUGUUUUCUCCGUCAAUUACAGGCAAAUUAAUAUUUAAACUUUGGGAGGCUGUGAGGAAGUGCUUACAGAAUAGAUUUCAGAGCCCAGGAUGUGCGGCCUUCUGCUUUCCACCAUCCCAGGGUUGAAAUUUCAUGCCCUUCGUGACUCCUCCCUGACCGGGUCCCCCAUGGGCACUGCCAAACGGGAUGCAGUUUCCCAGGAAACGAUGUACCUGCCCCCAGGUGGACCUCCCCUGGGAGUAAACAGCCAUGUUGGUAACAACCACUGAACCCAACAGCGGGCUGACUUCAUCGCCGUCCUCUGGUCUUUUUGACAGUCUGGAUUCCAGUUUCAACCCUGUCCCAAACGAUCGUAAGUUCAGCUGAGUUCACCAAGCAAAAAUUGUCCCUCAGGUAUUGCCUCUGACAAGACUGAA
rnacentral:lncRNA from 1 species